ACUGGCGCAAACGUAGCACUAACGAAUGAGCCGGUAAUGAGGGCUGCGUGUGGGACGGGCGGGGGACCCGAAGAGGCGCUGACCUGAGGAUGACUUCAUCCUUCAGAGGUUUAUCACGAGCCCCACACCGUCAGCCAGGCAGCCUCACACAGCGAAAGCAGGGACCCGCCAUCUGCGCUGAAGUUAAUGAGAAGGAGAAAGUGUGAGGAGAUUUCUCUUCCAAUGCGAAGCAUGCCCAGAGGAUGAGUACGCGUGCUGGCGAACCGUGAUCAGUGCGCAGGAACUGGUGGAGAACAGCGAGACCUCUUCGAUGUUCUCCAUCUUGCCCCAUCACAUCGGCACACAGGUGGCACCUGCGGAGACUGGCUACUGUGUCUGUGUCUGUUGGAGUCGUCCUGUUCAUCUCAUGACAGAGGCUGCAUAAUCGACUGUCACAUGCAAUUCGUCAUUACAUGGCAGAAGCGUUAUGAGAGGUCAUCGGAGGUCACCAGCCCAUUAGGAUGUUCAGAAUUGACAAUUUGAACAACCUAUUAAGUCAAAAAUGUGUUCAGGUAGAUUGUAUACAGUGUCAGAGUGUGACAAGCCUGCACUCCUGCCUGACUGACAGUCAAAGUGAAAAACGUAUCUUAGCAGGCAUGGACAGACGCAUGAUACCACAGAAUACACCCUCUCAGUGCCCUGCAUGCAGGGGUUUCACAGUGGGCGUUGCGUGGGCAUGCAAAUUGUGACGUAGUCUUGUGAAAAAUGAGAAUGUUGCAAGUAAAAGAAGAUCUGAAGCCAUUGCCUAAAAUUCUGAGAUGUGAUGAGGGCCGCUAUACAAUUCACUGCUGCCACAGUGAAGGCUGAGUGGGGGCCAGGCAACAAGAAACAGAAGAACUGAACCCGCAGAUGUGAACAGACAUUGUCAUUUUGGGAUUUGCGGAUCACUCAAAUGGAACUCCUGGGUCAGUGUUUUGAUAGGAUCCUUAAAGCAGAUAAUAAUUCCUGCAGCAGCCCACUCUAGGCAGGCUUGAAAAGGCUAAUGUAUUGUUCUGCAGCCCAUGCAGAGACCUGACCCCACAGCCAGAUAGCAACUGUGAGAUCAUCUGGGAAGAAAUGUCCUCACAGGGUUUCUGCAGCCUAAUGCACUUGCACAGGCAGCCCUAUUAAGGACACGAUCCAAAAAUCUCGUUACAGAUAGGGCAUGCCUUUUGUAGGAGGACAAAGAACAAGCCUAUAUUUAGAUGGAAUAACAUCCCUUUUCACAAUUCUUACCCAAACAGCCUAGUAUUUUCUUAUUACUAUAAAUGGUAAAUUUCCUCAAGUCAAAAUCGACAGGAAUUUUUUCCGCAAAUAAUAGAAUAUGUUUCUCACAAGGUCUGAGUAAAAACAGUAAUCAGAGCAAUGGUAUUUCCUCAAAACUUUGUUUUCUGAGUCAUGCAAAUUUAGAGAAUUGUUUCUUGGUAGUAGUAACCCACUACCCACCCACAAGCUGCCCAGACAAAGACACUUGUGUUUAACUGUACAUAUAACGGAUGGCUCAGAUAUCGUUGUGGGACAAAAACGCAGAACAUCCUGUUUUUUAUUGUUUUUCAGACAAUAAGGAUUCUCUACUGUCUCUGAAAAUGCCACCCUUGUAAUUGUCUCCUUUAUCAUGGUCUUCGUGCAAAUA